CCUACGGGUGGCAGCAGUGAGGAAUAUUGGUCAAUGGGCGAGAGCCUGAACCAGCCAAGUAGCGUGAAGGAUGACUGCCCUACGGGUUGUAAACUUCUUUUAUAAGGGAAUAAAGUGAGCCACGUGUGGCUUUUUGUAUGUACCUUAUGAAUAAGGAUCGGCUAACUCCGUGCCAGCAGCCGCGGUAAUACGGAGGAUCCGAGCGUUAUCCGGAUUUAUUGGGUUUAAAGGGAGCGUAGGUGGCUUGUUAAGUCAGUUGUGAAAGUUUGGGGCUCAACCGUAAAAUUGCAGUUGAAACUGGCAGUCUUGAGUACAGUAGAGGUAGGCGGAAUUCGUGGUGUAGCGGUGAAAUGCUUAGAUAUCACGAAGAACUCCGAUUGCGAAGGCAGCUUACUGGACUGCCACUGACACUGAGGCUCGAAAGUGUGGGUAUCAAACAGGAUUAGAUACCCCAGUAGUC
rnacentral:rRNA from 1 species